AAAUAUAUUUGGCAAACCUAUUGAAAAAUAGGGACGCAAAGCUACGAGUCUAAGGUAAAGUAAUUUGCUAUGAUUGUCGGGUUGCGCAU
rnacentral:ncRNA from 1 species